CCUACGGGAGGCAGCAGUGAGGAAUAUUGGUCAAUGGACGAGAGUCUGAACCAGCCAAGUAGCGUGAAGGAUGACUGCCCUAUGGGUUGUAAACUUCUUUUAUAUGGGAAUAAAAUGUUCCACGUGUGGGAUUUUGUAUGUACCAUAUGAAUAAGGAUCGGCUAACUCCGUGCCAGCAGCCGCGGUAAGACGGAGGAUCCGAGCGUUAUCCGGAUUUAUUGGGUUUAAAGGGAGCGUAGGUGGAUUGUUAAGUCAGUUGUGAAAGUUUGCGGCUCAACCGUAAAAUUGCAGUUGAAACUGGCAGUCUUGAGUACAGAAGAGGUGGGCGGAAUUCGUGGUGUAGCGGUGAAAUGCUUAGAUAUCACGAAGAACUCCGAUUGCGAAGGCAGUUCACUGGACUGCAACUGACACUGAGGCUCGAAAGUGUGGGUAUCAAACAGGAUUAGAUACCCGAGUAGUC
rnacentral:rRNA from 1 species